GUACACGCUGUGACUAGCAUAUCAAUAAGCGGAGGAAAAGAAACUAACAAGGAUUCCCCUAGUAACGGCGAGUGAAGCGGGAAGAGCUCAGAUUUGAAAUCUUAAAGGGUUUCCCUUUACGAAUUAUAGUUUAAAGAAGUGUUUUCUGUUGAGGUUUUGGUAAAAGUUCUUUGGAAUAGGACAUCAUAGAGGGUGAGAAUCCCGUAUUUGACCUUUACUUUCAACUUUGUGAUACACUUUCAAAGAGUCGGAUUGUUUGGGAAUGCAGUCCAAAAUGGGUGGUAAAUUUCAUCUAAAGCUAAAUAUUGGUGAGAGACCGAUAGCGAACAAGUACCGUGGAGGGAAAGAUGAAAAGAACUUUGAAAAGAGAGUUAAACAGUACGUGAAAUUGUCAAAAGGGAAGCGUUUGACACCAGUGUUGUUUUUCUGAAAAUCAAUUAAAGAACUGUUUAUGCUAAGUUGUUUAGACUUUAUCAGCUAACUGUUUAGUUUUGAGCUUUUCUUUAAUGCACUUUUCAGUUAACAAGUCAACGAUCAAUUUCUUUUGCUGUAAAAAAGCUUGAGGAAGGUGGCUUGAGAUUCGUCUUAAGUGUUUAUAGCCUCUUGCCUAUGCAGUCGGAGGAGAUUGAGGUCUGCAGCGUAGAUCCUUCGGGGCUAAAUGCAUUUGUGCUAAGUUAUAGCAUUUUAUAGACAACUUGUUGACUAUGAUUUGUCUUGUAGCUUACUCGCUUAUGUUAUUUUACCUACGCUUAGGAUGUUGAGUCGUAGAGCACGCAG
rnacentral:rRNA from 1 species